rnacentral:rRNA from 1 species
GAUGAACGCUGGCGGCGUGCCUAAUACAUGCAAGUCGAACGCUGAAGGAAGGAGCUUGCUCUUUCCGGAUGAGUUGCGAACGGGUGAGUAACGCGUAGGUAACCUGCCUGGUAGCGGGGGAUAACUAUUGGAAACGAUAGCUAAUACCGCAUAACAGUAGAUGUUGCAUGAUAUCUACUUAAAAGGUGCAAUUGCACCACUACCAGAUGGACCUGCGUUGUAUUAGGUAGUUGGUGAGGUAACGGCUCACCAAGGCGACGAUACAUAGCCGACCUGAGAGGGUGAUCGGCCACAAUGGGACUGAGACACGGCCCAGGAUUCUACGGGAGGGAGCAGGAGGGGAAUAUUGGAAAAGGGGGGAAAGCUGACCCAAGAAAGCCGGGGGGGGUAAGGAGGGUUUCGGGUCGGAAAGCUCUGUUGGAAGGGAAGAAAGAGUGUGAGAGUAGAAAGUUCACACUGUGACGGUACCUUACCAGAAAGGGACGGCUAACUACGUG